CCAACCCUUAGUUAGAAGAUGAGGGUAAGAGUCACUGAAGAACUUAAUUUUAAAGCCUGGAUCUGAAAUUUUUCAACUUCUUUUGUUAUGAAGUGAUUUCCAGCAGGAGUGAUGCAAAAGCUGAAAGGCUUCAUACUACAGGAAGAGGAUAUGGUUAAAGGCACCAGGAUGUCUACAAAACAGAUUUAUUUCCAUCUCAGCAGGAGGCAGCCAUGUUUCUCUAAGUGUUGAUUAAACUGUUCCUCCAUGGUG
rnacentral:lncRNA from 1 species